rnacentral:misc_RNA from 1 species
AGCGUAUACGAUUAGAAGCGGCUAUACUGAGCUAUGGAAAACGAGGUCUAUGUUUUGUUGCAGCGAACCUCAGCCAUAAAUUGAGUAUUCCCCAUGAAAACCAGGAACGUCCGUUCCAGGCAGAGCUUGCAGACGUUUGUUGUUUCGACGGUAGGUUUACCACGACGCGCAUAAAAGUAUUCCGCUCAGGUGCGGGCCACAAACACAGCCUCGAGCACAGUGCUCCUGCGAGCCGCGAGCGCCUUGAUAACGUGUUGAGUAACGGGAGCAACGCGAACACAGCGGCGAUGUGAACAGAACGUGCAGUCCUGCGGCCUGUCGCGCGCGAGAUAGCGCUGUAAGAGUCGCGGUGUCGGGCUUUUUCGCGGACGCUCGCGUGAGGCCGAGUCUCGUGCAGCGCCCAGCGACAGACCACGUGCACUCGUGCACUCGACUGCGCGCUGCUGCCUGCAUGUGCAGCACCAGCUCGGAUACCAGCGUCAAUGCCAGAGCUAUCGAAACGCCAGGCUAGGAUGGGCCAGUGAAGCGCUCGCUCUGUGCCUGCCUUUUGAACAUUUCCCCGACUUUUCCUCGAUACACGGCCUCGACAUUCAAUGUGCGGCUCUAACUGCUACUCGACUCAAUGUUAGAGUUAGAAUCCUCGGUCGUGUGUUCAGGGCGGCUCGUUUGACUCCUUUCUCCUGGCAUUCGUGGCGCCAACGGAAUCAAGAUGACUCGGGGCGCCGUCGAACACGCGUUGGUGGCAUAUCCGAAAAUAUGGUUUUCCGGUUCGAGCGCCCAAGCGUCCACGCUUGUCCUUGCCUAAAAUGUAGCCUGCCCGGAUCACGCAUGCUUCGCGUACUCAAUGGACCUGCUUGGAGGCCACCCGUGGGCACGGCAAUUUGUGCAGAUGGAUUUGCGAGGCGGACAACUCGACGUCGUGCCCUGGCGACAUGCUCGCAGGCUCAUGCCGGGCGUUCACUUUACUUGACACGCCGAAUGGUGGAUUCGGUUCGAGAGACCGAUCGUGCGCUGCUUGCGGCCGUCGACGACUCGGCAUUCGACAGCAGCAUGGUACCUCUCAGGGCUGGUACGCUCGCAGAUGUUCCUGUCUCCCCUGUUCGGACUGCAACGAGACUUGCACCGGGCCUCGAGGCACCGCAUGGAUCGCUCUCAGCAGAGCGUGCGUCACUGCUGAGCACGAAGCGAGUGCAGAGGGGUCGACACUUCUGGAUCGACAGUUCUUAAUCGAGCUCGUCUGUACUGAUAUCCCAGAACUUGCAUCGUCAUCGACAACAUUGCGUUCCGCAAAUGCUUUGUCGAACGGAGCAACGAACGCAUUCGUAUGCAGCGGUUAGCGUACUCGCCGAGUGAUCGCCAAGAAGAAGCGGAUCAUCAUCGCAGGGUCCGGCAUCUGAAGCUGAGCCCGAGGAGGGCAUUGACGGGUGUCGUCUGUAGCCAUAGAAGGCAUGCACUGAGCGACGGAGCUGGUGUCCUCGUCCCCCAGAGCAGCCCACGGAGGGGCAGGCACAGUGGACACACAGGAAUCGCGGAUCACGGUGAUGGGUCCGCGCUGCAAAGCGCUUACCUGGGCUGUUUAUAGAAGAGGUGCACGAAUCGAGUGCGGCAUGGACCCGAACUGCUGCCUGAUGAUGAAAUGCGUUCGCGAGAGCGGGAAGCAGUAGAAUCGGGGCAUGCGCGUUGCUAUCAGCAGACCUCGACUGCUGAGACUGAACCAUGAGGCACCGGAGAGACCUGCUCAUUUCAGGCGGGGGAUGAGUUAGAGAGCGAUGAAAAGGUAUCGGUUGCUGGAAAGCCCGGAGAGACUUGUAAUGAUGACAGUGGGAACUGACCGAUUGUUUAUGGUGCACACCUGCUUUAGCGUAGUUGGACGUCUCUAAUUUUGUCUCAUAUAGAUAUAAAUCAAGUUUACCCAUUUCGGAGA